AAGUCGUAACAAGGUCUCCGUUGGUGAACCAGCGGAGGGAUCAUUACAGAGUUCUAAAAGACUCCCAAAACCAUUGUGAACGUACCCGUCAGCGUUGCCUCGGCGGGCGGCCCCUCCCUGGGGCCGCUGCCUCCCUCGGGGGGUGCCCGCCGGCGUACCAAAACUCUUUUGUAUUUUAGUGGCCUCUCUGAGAAAACAAGCAAAUAAGUUAAAACUUUCAACAACGGAUCUCUUGGUUCUGGCAUCGAUGAAGAACGCAGCGAAAUGCGAUAAGUAAUGUGAAUUGCAGAAUUCAGUGAAUCAUCGAAUCUUUGAACGCACAUUGCGCUCGCCAGUAUUCUGGCGAGCAUGCCUGUUCGAGCGUCAUUUCAACCAUCAAGCUCUGCUUGCGUUGGGGAUCCGCGGCCGCCCGCGGUCCCUCAAAAACAGUGGCGGGCUCGCUAGUCACACCGAGCGUAGUAACUCUACAUCGCUAUGGUCGUGCGGCGGGUUCUUGCCGUAAAACCCCCCAAUUUCUAAGGUUGACCUCGGAUCAGGUAGGAAUACCCGCUGAACUUAA
rnacentral:rRNA from 1 species